UGGGUGUAGACUUUCAGGAAGCACAGCCAUGAAGCUGCAUGCGUCUGUGUGUGGAUGCCUCAUGCCUUUUCCUGGUGGUUUGCAGGCAUGGAAGAUUCUUCUGUUCAUCUAAGCUCCUGACUUUAGGCCCUUCUAGAACAUUAGAGAGGAGAAGAAAUCACGUGCAAGGAUUUAGGGACAAGAGGAUGAGGUUUUGGUGUUUCCUUUCUGGUAUUAGGUUUUCCAGAGAGAGGCUGUUAGCCUGUCUCUCGCCCACUCCACCACUGUGAAUCCUGGCUACUGGGGCUAGUUCCUUGCUAGGAAAAAAAAACUCUAGAGAAAUGUGUUUGUGUGUGGUGGGUGGGCGGGGGCCCUGAGGAUGCAGGGACUGUGUCUGCUGUGUUGUCUGUUAUAAGAUGUUUCAGACCUAUUUUGCAUACUGGCAGCGACAAGUUGAGACUUGUUCAACUUGACACAGUCCUGUGGUCAUAGCGAAUCUUUCUAAAGCUCUGAUCAGUCAAGAAGGGGGUUGUAUCAAUCCUCAGAACCCUGAGUGGAACUUUCUACAGGAUUUAUUAGGAGAAAAACCUUCCCGGAAGCUGCAGAAGGACAAAUACAGAAUCCGUGUCUGGGAGAAACCUCGUGGCCUGGUCUCCAUUAUUUGAGAUGAGUUACAUCUUGGAGGCCUGAUCUUUUGGCCAGAAGGAGAUUAAAAAGAUGCCCCUCAAGAUGGCUGUGCCUGUCAGCUGCAUGGAGCUUCGUUCAAGUAUUUUCUGAGCCUGAUGGAUUUACAGUGAUCUUCAGUGGUCUGGGGAAUAACGCUGGUGGAACCAUGCACUGGAAUGACACACGCCCGGCACAUUUCAGGAUACUAAAAGUGGUUUUAAGGGAGGCUGUGGCUGAAUGCCUCAUGGAUUCUUACAGCUUGGAUGUCCAUGGGGGACGAAGGACUGCAGCUGGCUGAGAGGGUUGAGAUCUCUGUUUACUUAGAUCUCUGCCAACUUCCUUUGGGUCUCCCUAUGGAAUGUAAGACCCCGACUCUUCCUGGUGAAGCAUCUGAUGCACGUUCCAUCCGGCGCUCAGCUGGGCUUGAGCUGACCAUACUCCCUGGAGCCUUCUCCCGAGGUGCGCGGGUGACCUUGGCACAUACAGCCAUCAUGAUGGUACUUUAAGUGGAGGCUGAAUCAUCUCCCCUUUGAGCUGCUUGGCACGUGGCUCCCUUGGUGUUCCCCUUUUACUGCCAGGACACUGAGAUUUGGAGAGAAUCCUGUUACACCUGGGAUUUAGGCACUUUCAAUCUGAAAAAAUACAUAUCCUUUCAGCACUCUGGACGGACUUGAGAACUGUCCUUACGUGACCUAAAGCUGGAGUAUUUUGAGAUUGGAGAAUUAAGAGUGUGGGCACCCUGGCUUCAAGCUCACGAGAAACCAGGUCGGGAUUUAAACAAUGUUGGGUUAAAGCAAAGUUUCAUAAAGACAGAAUCAAGAAAAAAAGAAAGAGAAA
rnacentral:lncRNA from 1 species